UGUACUGUUGGUGACCUAGUUAUUUUCCAGUGAUCAGAAGACACCUCUGGGCUCUGGAAGCAGGAGGAUCUACUCUGGACUGAAGGUAGCAAUUACAGAGCUUGGGAGGACAGAGGGAGAACAAGCUUGCUGGCUGGGGCUCAGAGAGUGUGCCAUAAAUGGAUCUGAAAUGUAAGCUUGCUGAAUGAUUCUUUAAGGUUCCAAGUUAAAAAUAUAAAACCAUAAAUGCAUGAGUGGAUGGUGUUGGGGCUCAAUACCACAUUCAAAUACUUAAUGCAUAAUAGGCACAACACAGUCUUCUUUUUGUUCAUUUUCUUUAGUCUGCCAAAUGGGCACUGGCUCGAAACUCUAAUAUAAUACCCCUUUUCCUGGGAGCUGUGGUGUUGGCUUUCUAUAGAUAGGCUCUCCUGAGGUCCUUCCUGGAACUGCCUGGGUGAGAAAACCAAGCCCUAUGGAAGGUUCCUUGAUAGCCCUGUAGGAGCCAGAAAAGACUUUUAAAGGCCUAUAAGAGAACCAAGCUCAUGGAUAUCAUGACAGAAACUCCCAAGGGGUUACACACCACAGAUGUUUUGGCCUAGCUAUUCGUGGAGGUGGCUGACAUCAUGGCAAGACUGAUGGCUGACUAUGAACACCUGGCUAUGGCUUCUGGAACAUUCAGCAGGUACAGAAUACAAGUGUUACAGCUCCAGAGGGAAAGGUACACUGACUUGUUGGGAAGUAAGACUAUACCUGCAAGUGUUACAGAUAUGAGGGAACAGUAUCCUGCCUUGUUGGAAAGUUAGGCUAUACCUACAGCAGUGAAGGGAGGUAUCCUUGCCACCUACAGCUGUGAGAAAAAAGGUAUCCUGACUUGUUGGGAAGUCAGGCUAUACCUAAAUCUGGGGUAUGGUGAGGCAUGGUCUCCCCAUCAGAUGUAGAGAUCCUGCAGCUCUCUUAGAGAGCACUGGUACAGCUGAGCUCUGCUCCACCCUUCCAAGGGAGCUUCCCAGCAGAAGUUUACAGCACAAAUUAUAAUUAUUCUUAAUAAAUAAAGUCCAGAGUCACAUAUUAGGAGGUGAAAGCUGAAAGGUCAGAACAUUGCUACCAGUCACUAAAGAGAUGUUUUACCUCUACCAAUGUUCAAACAAAAGGGGCAAUCCUGUCCUUAGACUGUCUCCUCAGACUGUCCUGAGAUCUGUCCCUUCCCAGCCUACAUUCUUCUCUCCUCCCAGCUGUAUCCCUCCUGUCUCCACCUCCCUGUGCUGGGAUUAAAGGCAUGUGAUCAUAAGUGCUAGAGUCACCUUUGUCUGUGGUCUAUUUCUCUUUCAGACAGAUUCAAUCUUGUGUAUCCCUGAGUGGCCUUGAACUCACAGAGAUCCAUCUGCCGCUGUCUCCUGAGUU